rnacentral:rRNA from 1 species
CAUGCAAGUCGAACGAAGCGCUUAAAUGGAUUUCUUCGGAUUGAAGUUUUUGUGACUGAGUGGCGGACGGGUGAGUAACGCGUGGGUAACCUGCCUCAUACAGGGGGAUAACAGUUAGAAAUGACUGCUAAUACCGCAUAAGCGCACAGUGCUGCAUGGCACAGUGUGAAAAACUCCGGUGGUAUGAGAUGGACCCGCGUCUGAUUAGCUGGUUGGUGGGGUAACGGCCUACCAAGGCGACGAUCAGUAGCCGGCCUGAGAGGGUGAACGGCCACAUUGGGACUGAGACACGGCCCAAACUCCUACGGGAGGCAGCAGUGGGGAAUAUUGCACAAUGGGGGAAACCCUGAUGCAGCGACGCCGCGUGAGCGAAGAAGUAUUUCGGUAUGUAAAGCUCUAUCAGCAGGGAAGAAAAUGACGGUACCUGACUAAGAAGCACCGGCUAAAUACGUGCCAGCAGCCGCGGUAAUACGUAUGGUGCAAGCGUUAUCCGGAUUUACUGGGUGUAAAGGGAGCGUAGACGGUUGUGUAAGUCUGAUGUGAAAGCCCGGGGCUCAACCCCGGGACUGCAUUGGAAACUAUGUAAUUAGAGUGUCGGAGAGGUAAGCGGAAUUCCUAGUGUAGCGGUGAAAUGCGUAGAUAUUAGGAGGAACACCAGUGGCGAAGGCGGCUUACUGGACGAUCACUGACGUUGAGGUUCGAAAGCGUGGGGAGCAAACAGGAUUAGAUACCCUGGUAGUCCACGCCGUAAACGAUGACUACUAGGUGUCGGG